UGAUGACUUCAAGACGGCAGUCUACCAGAGAGACAGAUGUGAAACCAGCUCGGGCAGGGCUCGGUCGGGGAAUGUGUAAUCGAUGCGAGGGCUGGGCCUGCACCGUGAAAGACGGGUUCUGCUGACAAAGCAGAGGAGCGAAAGGGAGAGAGGGUGGGUGGAAGGAGAAGACUGAGAGGACAAGGACCCAGGUCAGCGGAGGGAGAAGUGUCGCAUUUUUAACACGACUGACAGGGGGACCUGUCUCUCCCAUGCACUGCGCCGGCUCUGUGUCUCCACGUCCCAGUCUGGCCACAGCUGGCGUUGACACUUGCUUCCCCUCCUUUCCCCGACUGUCCCUGAGGCCUUCAGUCCUGUGAGAGGCAGCAGCCACACUCGUCCUGCAUUGCGGCUGCCCUGGGGGGGGGGGGGGGGCAGAGCCUCCCUUCCUGAGUGGGACCCUGCUGGGGUGCCUUGUGGUGCUAGAAGCGACACUGACUUCCAAGAGUCACCCCCUAAAGAUCUCGUUUUCCCGCUUGAUGACCUUCCUGAUCAUUUUAUUUGUCCUUCCCACCAGCCAAGCUCACAAGGAAAAGGGAGCAACAGACCUGCCCGCUCCAUUAAAAAACAGAGAGGGGCACAUGCCACGUUGGAAAGGGAUGUAAGAGAAGCGCGUAAACUGUAAAGAAUCCGUAGUUAUCAUUUAACUUCCCUCCGGCCACCCACAGGGAUUAUGAAUGUUCUGAUUUUAAAAUUUUACAGUGAUCAGUCCUUUCAGGCAAAACAGGCAUAUCAGUGAAGUUGGCAGGAAAGUGAGUUUCAAAAAUUCAAAAUCCAUUUUUCCACUGAGUUCACCGUGAGCCCACAGCCGUGUUCCCACGGGACAAGAAAACCCCCCCAGGAACUGGAGACGAACCCUCUCAGGUGAAGAGGUGGAGAGGGGGCCAGUUCUGUGGCAAACGGGCUGAUCCCUCACUCCCUGGGGCCCACGGCAGGGCAGCAGGGUGACACGGUGACAUUGUGAAAGGAGCACAGGGUCUGGAGCUGAGCGGGUUUGGGCCCGAGCUCUGCCCGCACAGAUAAUGUUAUAUUAGGCAAACUAGUUAAGUCCUCUGAGCUUUGGUCUCCAUACCCGUGAAAAGACAACAAAAAUACCUAGUUUGUAAGGGUAUUAUGUGAUGUAAGUAAAAUAUACAUGGUAUACAGUAGGUGCUCAUUGAUGGUGCUUAUUUGUAUUAAACAGCUCCUUCCUUUAGAGGUAAGGACGGACUCACAUUAAAGGCCUACUGUGCGCUGCUGUCUGGCUACAGACCCACUACAUAUCAGUAGCUACGAUCUAUAGUUGUCUCAGUAUCCACAGGGGAUUGGUCCCAGGGCCCCCACAGGCACCCAAAUCCAAGGCUGUUUGAGUCCCUUAGUUGGUCCUUUGAGUCUGUGGGUGCCACACCUGUGGAUACGGAGGGUCCACUGGGCUGAGUACAUAACAUGCGACAGCUGAGUGCCGUCUGACCCCACAGAUGGUCCUUGCGACAAGAGCUCUGCACAGGUUCGUUCGCCCCGUUCUGCAGGUGGAGGGAGGGAGGCCUGGAGUUCCAUGCGGCGUGCUCAUGGCACCUGAGCCACCAGGAUGCCCUUGCGCCAGCCACCCGGGUGCUCUCCCAGGUCGUGGGCAUCACUUGCGUAUCUUGGAUUUAAAGGUGCCAGAUUUAGCAAAUAAAAAUGCAGGCUGCCCAGUUGGAUCUGAAUUCUAGAUAAACAACAAACACAAAUGUGUAAGUAUGUCACAUGACACAUUUGGGACGGACUCGUGCUGAACGGCUGAUGAUUUGCUGGACUGCGCUUCAUGAGACUUUGCACGCCUGUGACCACUCGCUGCCGGUGACCAGUUGCUGCCUGUGACUUUGCUUAGCCUUUGCUUCCCAUUAGACUUUGCACGGGGCUGAGGGUUAAACGUCCCGGGUUUGAAUCCUGACUCUGCAACUUACCAGCUGACGACCUUGGAAAAUUUACUUAAUCUCUGUGUGACUCAAUGUCCUCAUCCAUUUACUAAGCUUAUGGGCAGCGUGUACCUCCUAGAGUGGUUAUGAGGGCGAAAAGAACUCACAUUAGUCAAGUGCUUAAAACAGAGCUUGGCACACAGUGAGCACUAAAUGCCUGGAAUAUAUGCACACACAGAAUACACACACGUACACAUUUUAUGUACACACACACACACCCCUUGGAGAUAUUGCAGAUUCAGUUCCAGACCACCGCAAUAAAGCCAAUACCACAAUAAAGCAAGUCACACAGAUUUUUUGCUUCCCCAAUGCAUCCUAAAGUUAUGCUUACGCUAUACUGUAAUCUAUUAAAUGUGCACUAAUAUUAUUCUAAAAACACAAUGUCUGUACCUUAAU